CGUAUCCAUGUUGGCAUCAACGAGAUACCAAAGGAGCAAUCCGCUGAGAGAUGGGCUCGCGUCUGAUUAGAUAGUUGGUGGGUAACGGGCCUCCAAAUCGACGAUCAGUAGCCGGACUGAGAGGUUGAACGGCCACAUUGGGACUGAGACACGGCCCAGACUCCUACGGGAGGCAGCAGUGGGGGAUAUUGGACAAUGGGGGCAACCCUGAUCCAGCGACGCCGCGUGAGGGAAGAAGGUUUUCGGAUUGUAAACCUCCUGUCAACAGGGAAAAUGAUGAUGGUACCUGUGGAGGAAGCCACGGCUAACUACGUG
rnacentral:rRNA from 1 species